UGUGCUAUACAAAUAAAAUUUGAUUGACUUGCACUAUAAACUAGACAAAAAUACUUGGCAAGAUUUUGUGUUUUUGCAGUGCAGUAAUCGGUUUCUCACCUGUUGUUUGGGGCAUGAUGCGGUGGUUUUUCAGGUUCUAUUUAGAUAACUUUCUUGACUGAAUAAAAUCUGGGUGUUGCUGCUUUUCCAAAAAACGUAGCAAGUUGUAGUUAAUUCAUAAUUUAAGAAAGUAAUUUAGAUACCUUUCCUGUCGUUGUACUUGAAAACAGCUCUUUUUAUUUACCCAAGUUACGAUGAACUGAGAAAAAUAUCUGUUUCUGUCACUUUCGGUCUGUUGUGGAAAUCUCCUGCAGUCUUCUAAUUUCCAUAAGUGCUUUUCCUGCUUAAGAUUGAUGUGCCCGCAUGUAGACAGCAUGAAAAAUAGACGUGUUCGUUGUUGACGAGAUGCAGGACAAGAGAAGGUGAUUUCCUUUUCAUGUCUACAGCAGGCAGGAAUCCUGCAUGAGGCGCUUUACGGAGUGAGAGCAGAAGAAGACGUAAAAACGUGGCGCUGAUCUCAGAUUCACUGUGGCUGUUUAGGAAGGAAUAAUAAAGCAGCAGAUGCUAAAGUAGUUCCUCCUGGGUGCCAUCUUGUUGGAGGAAAAGCAAUAAGUGCGGAAGCAGCCCACUCCACUCAAUGCCACCUGAAUAAGUGAUGCUGCAGAAGGACUCUGAAGUAGAAACAGACAGGAAGCUGCCAUUCUGUUAGCGAAAACAAGCCAGUGAACUCAUCAUCAAUAAGUUGGUGGAAAAACUCUGCUUUUUCACAUUUCAGCUGCUCCAGUAUAACAUAUUUCCAGGAAGUCAGGGCAUACAGUACCAGAUUUAUUCUUAUUAUUAAUUUUUUAUAGCUUUUCUGUCCCACACUGCAAAAACACAAAAUCUCACCGAGUACUUUUUGAUAGUUUCUACUGCAAAUAUCUCAGUACACUUGAAAUAAGACAAAACUAACUUUUAGAUAAACUUUCAACAAGAUAAAGGUUCUUAAUUUAAGUCAAUCAUUUAUUAAUACUGACAAAAA